UACGUAGGGGGGCAAGCGUUGUCCGGAAUCAUUGGGCGUAAAGAGCGCGUAGGCGGUCCGGUAAGUCUGCUGUGAAAGUCCAGGGCUCAACCCUGGAAGGCCGGUGGAAACUGUCGGGCUAGAGUCCGGAAGAGGCGAGUGGAAUUCCCGGUGUAGCGGUGAAAUGCGCAGAUAUCGGGAGGAACACCAAUGGCGAAGGCAGCUCGCUGGGACGGUACUGACGCUGAGACGCGAAAGCGUGGGGAGCAAACAGG
rnacentral:rRNA from 1 species